UUCAUUUUAGAUAAAGUAUCUUAGUAAAAGUUAGAAAAACUACAAUGUUAAAAGAAGAGAAAGCUGAAGUAAAUAUUAUAGGCUAAUAUUGGUUAGCAUAUGGCUAAUGGGAUCAUAUUAAAAGUGACCAAGUUAGCGGCCUUAACGUAACAAUUUAGUUUUGAUCGACACAUAAACAACAAUUAUCUUUUAAACUGUAAAAUCACGAGAAAAAAAAUCUGAAUUAUACGUUUCAAAACGUAAAACCAUCCAAGACAUGUGAGCUGAAGUGGGAUGUUUUACCGUCAAACAAUUCAAAAACGUACUUUUGGAAGGCUGAAUACAGAGCCGGUGAACACUAGCUUGUAAAAUGAAAGUCAAUAACUUUGUGUGUUUAUUUAGUUAGCUGGUUAACGUCUUCUAGAAUCGUGCUGCAGAACAGAGUUGACUCUUUUAGUCCAGAUUUCCGAUGAGGACUGCAGAACGUAACAACAAACACAGUGAAACUCUGCCGGUGGUGUUGAUGCUGCGAUGGAAACUGUGCUGCUUUACACUGUUUUCCGUUAAUGCUAACACACAUUCAGCUGUGAUGUAGGACUAACUCUUUCUUGUUUCCGUCCUCUCUGGUAGCGGUUAGCUAAAUGAGUCUUAUUUAGCUGAAGUUUAGCUAAGUUGUUGAGCAGCAAACCCAAAUUUAAAGGAGAAAAUCUGCUAUUUUUGUAGUUGUUGGUAAAUGCCUUUUCCACCAAAGCCAUGUAACUACAUAAAGAGAAAACGUCCCGUUAGUAAUUGUCAUAAUGCUGUGCCAUUUGUGAUUAAAGGCAGAACUAUACAUUACCAUAGAACGGCACCAUUACGAGCCUGUAAGCUAGUUAACGUUUUAUUGAAAGUUAGCUAGCUUGCUUGUACGCCAAAACAAAACUAAAUUUGUAAAGUAAAGUGAGGAUAAGAAGGUAUAGAUUUACUAAAACAAAUCUUAAUUUGUAAUUGAAAAUUGAUUUGAGUCAACAAAUAAAGUAAUUAAUGGUCAUUAACUAUGAGGGGAAAUAACUGUAUUGAUCACAAUAUUAGUUCUUUUAAUUAUUUGCCAUUUGAAGGGAAAAUUGAUUAAUUUAGGAAAGAUUUAUCAAAACAUUUUAGUAUUUAACCGUGAAUGAGUUAAAACAAGGAAAACAACAUUGCCAAGUCUACAAUAAUUAUCAUAUUUGAUAUGAUACAACUCUAAUCAAAUUUCUUUUUACAUUUUAUUAUUAGAUUUUCAGCUGUUCUGGUCGACAGCAUAAAAUGAUGCAUUAGUUUAUUUGCUGCCACAAGGAAACUUGUCAAAGAUGAGCUUCUGCUGCCAGUUUAUACGGACACGGGAACUUCGUCCACAUUCCCAGAGAUGCAGAACGAAAAGAAAAACUCAGAUAUUUAAUGACAAGCAUAUCUUAUGCUGAAGGUCUCAGCUUCAUGUAGCCACAACAGUAUUUGAUCACUGUACUUUGGUGUUUUUUUUUCUUUCCUGCAUUAACUGAUUUAUUUUGAUGUUAUUUGGUGCUAGAAUAAUAUGUUAAAAUUCAGAGUUUAGAAUCAAGGAUCUUGUUUUUAUUCAAAGCCUCAAACCAAACUUCAUUCAAAAAGUAUCUUAUUUAAGACGUUUUAUGAGCGGACUUAUUGAUUGAACAAGAAGUUUAAUGCACAUUUAAUGUCUUUAAUAAAUUAAGAUUACAGUGAGAGUUUCUGGCUUUGAAUGAACGUGGAUCAGAUACAUCGGUGGCAUUAACUGUUACGUUUCAUUGUCUGUGGAGUAAAACUGAGCUUCAUCAGUAGUCAGAAGUGUUUCCUACAGUCGACAGUACUGUGUGUACUGACGUGUAGCUGUGAGUAGUUUAAACUGUACACAUAGGAGAUACUGUCACAGUGUUUUAUUACAUGCAUGAAGUACUGUAGUUCUGAGUGUUGUGCAUUUACAGCAUUUUAUCUCCUCUUUAUUCACAGAAACGAGUCGGUCUGUCGCUGUUAAAGAACCACAACUGCUGGUUUUAUGUGUUUUAAACCGUUAAUACUUCAUCAUCCUGCACAUCAUCUUCCAAAUUAUUCUUCAUUUGUUCUUAGAAUGACUUGAGAAAUUGGUUUCACUUCAUUUCAAUAGAAAUCAACUUGCAGAUUCUUGAAACUUGCUGAGACGUUUAGGGAUAUUUAAAGUUUUUGGAAACUCCUCUUUGGUUUCAUUUUUAGGUAUUUCUUGGAUCCAAAAUCUUUCUUUUGUCUUUUUCUUGAAAGUCAAGCAUAGAAGACAAACACAGACGUCAUUGAAAUAGGAAUUAACUUGUUUUUCGCAUCAGAAAUGUAGCCGUAAGUUGUAAAAUCUCAGUGUCCUUAAAUGCACCAAUUGUUUUUCCAUAAAGGUGCUUUACCACUAGAUGAUACGGAGUCCCAUCGUACUGAAAGAUAGUUUUUUUUUCUUGCUUGCACAUGAUAUAAAAAUACAUCUUUCAGGACAUUUAAAUAAUAAUACAACCUCAAACAGGAAGUGACAAGAAGUUUCUCUUCUCUGCAAGUUGAAUUUGAUAGAAACGAACUGAAAUCCACCAAAAGAUAAAAGAGAUUUACAGGAAUACAAAGAUGAACAACCAGCUGUCUCGCCUUCAGAUUAAAAACAAAGCAGAACAAAUCCUGCAGCUGAUGUUCCACCACUAAAGAUGAAUCCUACUAGUCAAAGGAUUUUCAGAUUUGAUGAGGUUCAUUUGGACAAACGAUGAUGUCAUUUAAAGGAAAAUAGUGUCAAAAACGGCAAAAUGUUCAACCCAGCUAACAAGUAAAUAAUCUUGCAAAAGUAAUCCACAAAAGGCCAACAAAGAAAAUUAAAAAGAAAAAGGGACGAAGCUCCUUUUAAAGCUCAAAAAGUGCACAAACUAAGAAUCUGAAGCUUCAGUUUUUUUUAAAUGUUAAUGUUUUAAUGGCUGCAUCAUUCUAUCAGAUGGAGAUAUUCUGAAUCAUAUUAGAAACAGAUUUGAAAUGAUUGAAUUAAAAUAGAAUCUGUGCACUUUUUGAGUAAAUAUUUUCUCAUGCAUCCAAAACAGUAAAUCUUUGGGAAUGUAAAAUUCUCCCUUCAUGUGUUUCAAAAUCUCGUCAUCGGUUUCACUUUUAUUCGUGGUUCAAUGUUUAAAGAUGUGCAGUGUUUUCCUGCUUCUCUGCGUCCGUAGUGCCUCGUAGCGUUAGACCCACCUGUCGUCUUUAAGCCCCGCCCCUCUGAGAGCAGACCAGGUGGAGGUUUGUUCUCUAGAAGGAUGUUUGUCCUGCAGGUGGAGGUUUGAUCUGCAGGACGAUAUUGGUUCUGCAGAUGGAGGAUUGUUCUUCAGGUGGAUGUUUGUCCUGCAGGUUGAGGUUAGUCCUGCAGGUGGAUGAUUGUUCUUCAGGUGGAGGUUUGUUCUGCAGGUGGAGGUUUGUUCUGCAGGUGGAUGAUUGUUCUUCAGGUGGAGGUUUGUCCUGCAGGUUGAGGUUAGUCCUGCAGGUGGAUGAUUGUUCUUCAGGUGGAGGUUUGUUCUGCAGGUGGAUGAUUGUUCUUCAGGUGGAGGUUUGUCCUGCAGGUGGAUGAUUGUUCUUCAGGUGGAGGUUUGUCCUGCAGGUGGAUGAUUGUUCUUCAGGUGGAGGUUUGUUCUGCAGGUGGAUGAUUGUUCUUCAGGUGGAGGUUUGUUCUGCAGGUGGAUGAUUUGUUCUGCAGGUGGAUGAUUGUUCUGCAGGUGGAUGAUUGCUCUUCAGGUGGAGGUUUGAGCUGCAGGUGGAGCUUUGCUCUUUAGAUGGAUGUCUGUUCUUCAGGUGGAGGUUUUGUCCUUCAGGUCGAUGUUAAUCCUGCAGUUCGAUGUUUGUCCUGCAGGAGAACGUGUUGUCUUACAGGUGGAGGUGUUGUCUUACAGGUGGAGGUGUUUGUAGUGCCUCAUCUAAACCCUCAGUGCUCUGAUGUUUUCGUGUGUUUCAGCUCAACGUGCCUCCAGAUUUGUUUUGCUGUAAAGUUUCGGUUUUAUUAACUGAACUUUUAUUAAAUAGAUGAAAUGUAUAUUUUUGCAAUUGUUUUUUUUUUU